rnacentral:sRNA from 1 species
AUUCAGUGGUUGAGACUGACGCCCGUAUAGUCCUCCUAAAAUCUAAUCCAACAACAUCUUCAUUCGGAUAAGCUAAGUGAUAGUUUCUACCACUGAGCACGCCCAAUUCAAAGAGCUUCAAUGGCCCUGACGUUGAGCAGUAGUCCUUACCAUUGAGCACUCCCUUGAUAGUGAGCCCUUAUGAACUCAAGUGUUGAGUGUGUCUUGUUGUCACUGAGCACCAGUUUACUGUGUGUGUUCUGUCUUGUAGUUCUUUUUACAUUCUCAAGUUAUGUGGUU